ACAACUGUACAUGUUGGUUUCACUCUGAGCUGUAGGUCAAGGUUUCCUACCUCAUUAAACUCCCCACUCUUCCUGUUUUCUAUCUCUACAAUCAAUGGACAAAUGUAUCUACAAUUAAAUUAAUCUAACAACAAUACAACUGUUUGCAGUUUAGCAGUAUUAUUAUGAUGAAUUUGUCAGACUACUCAGACAGAUAGUAAACAGAAUGUAAAUCUAAGCCUGCAAGCAUUGGGUACUUUCCACUCUGCCUAACACGUUUCAUAAAAAAACUGCAGGGACUUUCCACCAAGAGAUAGCAGCAUCAUAAUCAAACCCAGACUCAGAGCUGGAUAGGUAAGAGAUAGAAGCAUCAUAAUCAAACCCAGACUCAGAGCUGGAUAGGUAAGAGAUAGUAGUAUCAUAAUCAAACCCAGACUCAGAGCUGGAUAGGUAAGAGAUAGCAGCAUCAUAAUCAAACCCAGACUCAGAGCUGGAUAGGGAAGAGAUAGAAGCAUCAUAAUCAAACCCAGACUCAGAGCUGGAUAGGUAAGAGAUAGCAGCAUUAUAAUCAAACCCAGACUCAGAGCUGGAACACCUCUUGUUAUACACUACAUUAAUUAACAUAAGGUUGUCUGUGAGACAACACUCCCUUUGUUUUACUGACUUGUUGAAUGAUUGAUCCAUUCAUCCUUCCAUCCCUUCCCAGCCUUCCUCUCCUCUGAGGACCCAGCGAGGGUGGAGCACAGUCUGAGAGCUGUUGAGUGAGAACACUUCUACAGCCAGAGAGUCAAGAAAUGGAACAGCAAGGCCACAGAACAUCACACACGCAGAGCUGUGGGAGACCACCUGAAACAUUCCCCUGGUAGAGCCAGGGGAUGUGUUAACCACACCACCACCAAACGCCUUUAACAGGCUUGAAAAGUGGGUUUGAUCUGUUUGAUCCAUUUUAUUUGUUUCAGUUUUCAUUAGUUGAAUCCUUCGACUUACUGUU